UAGGGAAUCUUCGGCAAUGGACGGAAGUCUGACCGAGCAACGCCGCGUGAGUGAAGAAGUUUUUCGGAUCGUAAAGCUCUGUUGUAAGAGAAGAACGAGUGUGAGAGUGGAAAGUUCACACUGUGACGGUACCUUACCAGAAAGGGACGGCUAACUACGUGCCAGCAGCCGCGGUAAUACGUAGGUCCCGAGCGUUGUCCGGAUUUAUUGGGCGUAAAGCGAGCGCAGGCGGUUAGAUAAGUCUGAAGUUAAAGGCUGUGGCUUAACCAUAGUAGGCUUUGGAAACUGUUUAACUUGAGUGCAAGAGGGGAGAGUGGAAUUCCAUGUGUAGCGGUGAAAUGCGUAGAUAUAUGGAGGAACACCGGUGGCGAAAGCGGCUCUCUGGCUUGUAACUGACGCUGAGGCUCGAAAGCGUGGGGAGCAAACAGGAUUAGAUACCCUGGUAGUCCACGCUGUAAACGAUGAGUGCUAGGUGUUAGACCCUUUCCGGGGUUUAGUGCCGUAGCUAACGCAUUAAGCACUCCGCCUGGGGAGUACGACCGCAAGGUUG
rnacentral:rRNA from 1 species